GGCGGCGUGCUUAACACAUGCAAGUCGAACGAAGAGAGAUGGAAGCUUGCUUCUAUGGAUCUUAGUGGCGAACGGGUGAGUAACGCGUAAUCAACCUGCCCUUCAGAGGGGGACAACAGUUGGAAACGACUGCUAAUACCGCAUACGAUCUAACUUCGGCAUCGAGAGUGGAUGAAAGGUGGCCUCUAUUUAUAAGCUAUCACUGAAGGAGGGGAUUGCGUCUGAUUAGCUAGUUGGAGGGGUAACGGCCCACCAAGGCGAUGAUCAGUAGCCGGUCUGAGAGGAUGAACGGCCACAUUGGGACUGAGACACGGCCCAGACUCCUACGGGAGGCAGCAGUGGGGAAUCUUCCGCAAUGGACGAAAGUCUGACGGAGCAACGCCGCGUGAGUGAUGACGGCCUUCGGGUUGUAAAGCUCUGUUAAUCGGGACGAAUGGUUCUUGUGCAAAUAAGUGCGAGGA
rnacentral:rRNA from 1 species